CCUACGGGUGGCAGCAGUGAGGAAUAUUGGUCAAUGGGCGCAAGCCUGAACCAGCCAAGUAGCGUGAAGGAUGACUGCCCUACGGGUUGUAAACUUCUUUUAUAAAGGAAUAAAGUGAGGCACGUGUGCCUUUUUGUAUGUACUUUAUGAAUAAGGAUCGGCUAAAUCCGUGCCAGCAGCCGCGGUAAUACGGAGGAACCGAGCGUUAUCCGGAUUUUUUGGGGUUAAAGGGAGCGUCGAGGGGUUGUUAAGUCAGUUGUGAAAGUUUGCGGCCCAACCGUAAAAUAGCAAUUGAUACUGGCAGCCUUGAGUACAGUUGAGGUAUGCGGAAUUCGUGGUGUAGCGGUGAAAUGCUUAGAUAUCACGAAGAACGCCGAUUGCGAAGGCAGCUUACUAAACUGCCACUGACAUUGAGGCUCGAAAGUGUGGGUAUCAAACAGGAUUAGAUACCCUUGUAGUC
rnacentral:rRNA from 1 species